CGCGUUUUUAUUGAUAAGAAAAUCCCAAGGCUUCAUCACAGCCACUCGAUCCAACCUCAUCUCUUCCCACCGACGCCAUCUCUCCCUCACAACUCUCACAUGACCAAACCUCACCCGUCAUCUCUCUCACCGUCUCUCUUUCACUCGAUUGUGACGUCCUCUCCAAUCGCCGCUUACUCGACCACCUGACCUUCACCGUCUCUUCGUCGCCUCCGUACACUCGACCUUGCCGUUCCAGUUUCACAUUCCUCACAGCUUCGUCUCCUUCUCACUCGAUCACAACUCGACCUCUCUGCGCUUCAUCUUCAUCUUCAUUUACUCGACUUCGCCGGAGCUCCUCGCCGUUCCAGCUUUGCCAUCUCUCACCGCUCACCAUCUCUCCUUCACUCGACCAUUUCACGCUUCGCCUCAACAUCUUCGCCGGAGUUUCUCGUCAUUCACCGUGCUUCUGUCGCCUCCGUUUACUCGACCUCACGCCGUUCACUCACCGCAAGCUUGACUCGGCUACCAAGGAACUCGCCUCUCCCUCCUCACCCCCUCUCAACCACUCGACCUCAUUGUUGCCAUCUCUAAUCAAAACCGCCACCGUCUUCUCUCCAUUCGCCGUUUACUCGACCAAACUGCCACUGCAAUCAACCGAACAAGCCUCGCCACCAUUCACUCAACCACGCCGUUACCGUCUCUCAUUCACUUUCACUCGACCGCAAAACCGCAAAACUCAAAUCCACAAUUUCAAACUCGACCGAUUUACUCGACCGUGUACUCGGCCGGUUUAGUGUUUGCGCUUAUUGAAACUAACAUAUUGACGUUUAGCUUUGAGGUGCAUUUUUUUUCCAAGAAAUCAAUAUAAGUAACUACAGUGGCGAGUCCUCUAUGAAUGCGGAUUACAACGUCGAUGAAGCUGAGUCUUGGUCAACUAGACCGGAGAGAGAGCAACAGGCUUAUGAGAGUUUCAUAGCUGACACCCAACGCUCAGUAGCUCGAUGCAAUGAGAGGAGAGCUGAGAUUGCUAGAGGAAAGAGAGCAAUGACCAGUAGAUAUGAAUUGAUCGACGAAGAUAUUGACGUCGAGUAUGAGCCUGAGUUAUGGCAAAGAGAGACGAAGCUGUUGAACAUGCUUGAUGAAGUUAUAGUGGAGGAGUACAUCAGACUUUUCGAGCUGAACGACUUCUGGGGAACGAGGUACCCCUGUUAUCAGACUUUAGCCCAGCUGGGGCUACUGGAGGACGUACAACACUUAUUUGAGAAGUGCCAUGUGGAGACACUGAUGUCUUACCCGUACGUCGCCUACAAGAAGGAAACAAUAGAGUUUCUCUCCACUCUGCAAGUGGAGAGGUAUCAGGGACUUACAGCAAAUGAGCUGGAGAGUGAAGGGUUGGGGUUCUUGACUUUUUCAGUGAGCGAGCAGCGUUACCAGCUAUCUAUCAGGAGUUUGGAAGGAUUGUUUGGUUUCCCAGUGGAAAGGGAACAAAACCCAAGUUUGAGAGGGAAGAGUUGAAGGAUUUGUGGUUAACUAUUGAGAACGAUAUGGCGCUCAACUCUGCGAGGUCCAAGAGCAACCAGAUUCGAAGCCCUGUGAUCCGCUACUAUCAACGCUCUGUAGCAAAUGUUCUGUACUCUAGGGAAUCUACAUGCACCGUGUCUAACACAUACAUGGAGAUGAUUGAUUCUGCACUCAAGGGCAUUCUCCCCAGAACAAAGGGGAAGAAGGUCCUGAAGGGCGACCUCAAUGAUGGACCACCGGUUAUGCUUCUGGUGAUCCACCUGUGUGGAUACAGGAAGUGGGCGCACACCAACGGGAAGAAGAGGGCGCGAGGAGCCCUUUGUGUAGGUGGUGUUGUGACACCAAUUCUAAUAGCAUGUGGUGUACCUCUCAUGUCUCCAGGGUUCGAUCCGAGGAUGAUGGAUUUAGAUCACUUGCGUCGUUGUGAGUUUCUGGAGCACGACAUGGUUGCCGAUUUCUAUCGCUACAAAUUUGAGCACUCCUUGACCCGAACAACCAACAUUCUGCUUCCCUGCACUGAGGCCACAACCAUACUCCAGAGCGAAAACAUUGACUUCAAGCGUGCGCGUGAUUACCUCUACUUUGAGAGCGCUCCACCG
rnacentral:sRNA from 1 species